UUUAAAAAGGGUUAAAUUUGACCCGAGGACAACAGGAGGGUUAAACCUUCUCCGCACCAAGCAGCAGACAAAGUUAGCAACUAGCUGGUGAGGAAAGUAAAUAUUGGACUUUAUCAGCUUUAAAAUACAUUGUUUUUAAACGCAACCAAGAGAGACAGAGAGAGAAUUUUUUAACAACCUAUUGAUUCAAAAGUUGUUGGGAUAAAUGGCUCAUAAGUGACCUAACAAAUUAUUGAAUUUCACAUUCAGUACGCUAUUAGUUUCAGAUUAAAAACCCUUUUCUUAAGAGAUUG